rnacentral:rRNA from 1 species
AACGAACGCUGGCGGCAUGCCUAACACAUGCAAGUCGAACGAGACCUUCGGGUCUAGUGGCGCACGGGUUCGUAACGCGUGGGAACCUUCCCUUAGGUUCGGAAUAACUCCCCGAAAGGGGUGCUAAUACCGGAUAAUGUCUUCGGACCAAAGAUUUAUCGCCUUUGGAUGGGCCCGCGUUGGAUUAGCUAGUUGGUAGGGUAAAAGCCUACCAAGGCGACGAUCCAUAGCUGGGCUGAGAGGAUGAUCAGCCACACUGGGACUGAGACACGGCCCAGACUCCUACGGGAGGCAGCAGUGGGGAAUAUUGGACAAUGGGCGAAAGCCUGAUCCAGCAAUGCCGCGUGAGUGAUGAAGGCCUUAGGGUUGUAAAGCUCUUUUACCCGGGAUGAUAAUGACAGUACCGGGAGAAUAAGCCCCGGCUAACUCCGUG